rnacentral:rRNA from 1 species
AUCUAGCCAUGGGCAGGUUGAAGGUUGGGUAACACUAACUGGAGGACCGAACCGACUAAUGUUGAAAAAUUAGCGGAUGACCUGUGGCUGGGGGUGAAAGGCCAAUCAAACCGGGAGAUAGCUGGUUCUCCCCGAAAGCUAUUUAGGUAGCGCCUCGUGAAUUCAUCUCCGGGGGUAGAGCACUGUUUCGGCUAGGGGGCCAUCCCGGCUUACCAACCCGAUGCAAACUGCGAAUACCGGAGAAUGUUAUCACGGGAGACACACGGCGGGUGCUAACGUCCGUCGUGAAGAGGGAAACAACCCAGACCGCCAGCUAAGGUCCCAAAGUCAUGGUUAAGUGGGAAACGAUGUGGGAAGGCCCAGACAGCCAGGAUGUUGGCUUAGAAGCAGCCAUCAUUUAAAGAAAGCGUAAUAGCUCACUGGUCGAGUCGGCCUGCGCGGAAGAUGUAACGGGGCUAAACCAUGCACCGAAGCUGCGGCAGCGACACUGUGUGUUGUUGGGUAGGGGAGCGUUCUGUAAGCCUGUGAAGGUGUGUCGUGAGGCAUGCUGGAGGUAUCAGAAGUGCGAAUGCUGACAUAAGUAACGAUAAAGCGGGUGAAAAGCCCGCUCGCCGGAAGACCAAGGGUUCCUGUCCAACGUUAAUCGGGGCAGGGUGAGUCGACCCCUAAGGCGAGGCCGAAAGGCGUAGUCGAUGGGAAACGGGUUAAUAUUCCCGUACUUGGUGUUACUGCGAAGGGGGGACGGAGAAGGCUAUGUUGGCCGGGCGACGGUUGUCCCGGUUUAAGCGUGUAGGUGUGUGUUCCAGGUAAAUCCGGUUCACUUUAACACUGAGGCGUGACGACGAGGCACUACGGUGCUGAAGCAACAAAUGCCCUGCUUCCAGGAAAAGCCUCUAAGCAUCAGGUAACAUCAAAUCGUACCCCAAACCGACACAGGUGGUCAGGUAGAGAAUACCAAGGCGCUUGAGAGAACUCGGGUGAAGGAACUAGGCAAAAUGGUGCCGUAACUUCGGGAGAAGGCACGCUGACACGUAGGUGAAGUGAUUUACUCAUGGAGCUGAAGUCAGUCGAAGAUACCAGCUGGCUGCAACUGUUUAUUAAAAACACAGCACUGUGCAAACACGAAAGUGGACGUAUACGGUGUGACGCCUGCCCGGUGCCGGAAGGUUAAUUGAUGGGGUCAGCGCAAGCGAAGCUCCUGAUCGAAGCCCCGGUAAACGGCGGCCGUAACUAUAACGGUCCUAAGGUAGCGAAAUUCCUUGUCGGGUAAGUUCCGACCUGCACGAAUGGCGUAAUGAUGGCCAGGCUGUCUCCACCCGAGACUCAGUGAAAUUGAACUCGCUGUGAAGAUGCAGUGUACCCGCGGCAAGACGGAAAGACCCCGUGAACCUUUACUAUAGCUUGACACUGAACAUUGAGCCUUGAUGUGUAGGAUAGGUGGGAGGCUUUGAAGCGUGGACGCCAGUCUGCGUGGAGCCGACCUUGAAAUACCACCCUUUAAUGUUUGAUGUUCUAACGUGGACCCGUGAUCCGGGUUGCGGACAGUGUCUGGUGGGUAGUUUGACUGGGGCGGUCUCCUCCUAAAGAGUAACGGAGGAGCACGAAGGUUGGCUAAUCCUGGUCGGACAUCAGGAGGUUAGUGCAAUGGCAUAAGCCAGCUUGACUGCGAGCGUGACGGCGCGAGCAGGUGCGAAAGCAGGUCAUAGUGAUCCGGUGGUUCUGAAUGGAAGGGCCAUCGCUCAACGGAUAAAAGGUACUCCGGGGAUAACAGGCUGAUACCGCCCAAGAGUUCAUAUCGACGGCGGUGUUUGGCACCUCGAUGUCGGCUCAUCACAUCCUGGGGCUGAAGUAGGUCCCAAGGGUAUGGCUGUUCGCCAUUUAAAGUGGUACGCGAGCUGGGUUUAGAACGUCGUGAGACAGUUCGGUCCCUAUCUGCCGUGGGCGCUGGAGAACUGAGGGGGGCUGCUCCUAGUACGAGAGGACCGGAGUGGACGCAUCACUGGUGUUCGGGUUGUCAUGCCAAUGGCACUGCCCGGUAGCUAAAUGCGGAAGAGAUAAGUGCUGAAAGCAUCUAAGCACGAAACUUGCCCCGA